GCCUGGGUAGCUCAGGGGUAGAGCACUGCACUGAAAAUGCAGGUGUCGACAGUUCGAAUCUGUCCCUAGGCACCA
rnacentral:tRNA from 2 species